UGGGAGACACUGUCCACAGGCCAGUGUGUCAGAGCGAUCCAUCUCCCCAAGCCUGGGGGUCAUUGGCAGCCAUGAUUCUCACACGCUGACUGGUUGGCACCAAAAGCAUCUAAUGGCCACUAACCUUGGAGCUUAGUAAUGAGCUCCCCUUAAGUGAUGCUCUGAGCACAGUGGCGGAUGCGCUGGUGGGAAGUGUUCUCGAGCAGGAUGGCUCUUGCUGGCACGGCAGUGUAUCUUGGGUGAUUUUUCAAACUGAGCCUCUUUUGAAAAACAAAAAACCACAGAAAUGUUAGUGU
rnacentral:lncRNA from 1 species